UACGGGGGGGGUAAGCGUUGUUCGGAAUUACUGGGCGUAAAGCGUGCGCAGGCGGCGCGUUAAGACAGGUGUGAAAGCCCCGAGCUUAACUUGGGAAUUGCGCUUGUGACUGGCGUGCUGGAGUGUGGCAGAGGGAGGUGGAAUUCCACGUGUAGCAGUGAAAUGCGUAGAGAUGUGGAGGAACACCGAUGGCGAAGACAGCCUCCUGGGCCAGCACUGACGCUCAUGCACGAAAGCGUGGGGAGCAAACAGG
rnacentral:rRNA from 1 species